rnacentral:rRNA from 1 species
GCUUGCUCCCGGAUGUUAGCGGCGGACGGGUGAGUAACACGUGGGUAACCUGCCUGUAAGACUGGGAUAACUCCGGGAAACCGGAGCUAAUACCGGAUAGUUCCUUGAACCGCAUGGUUCAAGGAUGAAAGACGGUUUCGGCUGUCACUUACAGAUGGACCCGCGGCGCAUUAGCUAGUUGGUGAGGUAACGGCUCACCAAGGCGACGAUGCGUAGCCGACCUGAGAGGGUGAUCGGCCACACUGGGACUGAGACACGGCCCAGACUCCUACGGGAGGCAGCAGUAGGGAAUCUUCCGCAAUGGACGAAAGUCUGACGGAGCAACGCCGCGUGAGUGAUGAAGGUUUUCGGAUCGUAAAGCUCUGUUGUUAGGGAAGAACAAGUGCAAGAGUAACUGCUUGCACCUUGACGGUACCUAACCAGAAAGCCACGGCUAACUACGUGCCAGCAGCCGCGGUAAUACGUAGGUGGCAAGCGUUGUCCGGAAUUAUUGGGCGUAAAGGGCUCGCAGGCGGUUUCUUAAGUCUGAUGUGAAAGCCCCCGGCUCAACCGGGGAGGGUCAUUGGAAACUGGGAAACUUGAGUGCAGAAGAGGAGAGUGGAAUUCCACGUGUAGCGGUGAAAUGCGUAGAGAUGUGGAGGAACACCAGUGGCGAAGGCGACUCUCUGGUCUGUAACUGACGCUGAGGAGCGAAAGCGUGGGGAGCGAACAGGAUUAGAUACCCUGGUAGUCCACGCCGUAAACGAUGAGUGCUAAGUGUUAGGGGGUUUCCGCCCCUUAGUGCUGCAGCUAACGCAUUAAGCACUCCGCCUGGGGAGUACGGUCGCAAGACUGAAACUCAAAGGAAUUGACGGGGGCCCGCACAAGCGGUGGAGCAUGUGGUUUAAUUCGAAGCAACGCGAAGAACCUUACCAGGUCUUGACAUCCUCUGACAACCCUAGAGAUAGGGCUUUCCCUUCGGGGACAGAGUGACAGGUGGUGCAUGGUUGUCGUCAGCUCGUGUCGUGAGAUGUUGGGUUAAGUCCCGCAACGAGCGCAACCCUUGAUCUUAGUUGCCAGCAUUCAGUUGGGCACUCUAAGGUGACUGCCGGUGACAAACCGGAGGAAGGUGGGGAUGACGUCAAAUCAUCAUGCCCCUUAUGACCUGGGCUACACACGUGCUACAAUGGACAGAACAAAGGGCUGCGAGACCGCAAAGGUUUAGCCAAAUCCCAACAAAUCUGUUCUCAAGUUCGGAAUCGCAG